rnacentral:rRNA from 1 species
UACGGAGGGAGCUAGCGUUGUUCGGAAUUACUGGGCGUAAAGCGCACGUAGGCGGCUUUGUAAGUUAGAGGUGAAAGCCCAGAGCUCAACUCUGGAAUUGCCUUUAAGACUGCAUCGCUUGAAUCGUGGGAGAGGUUAGUGGAAUUCCGAGUGUAGAGGUGAAAUUCGUAGAUAUUCGGAAGAAACACCAGUGGCGAAGGCGACUGACUGGACAUGGUAAUUGACGCUGAGGUGCGAAAAGCGUGGGGAGCAAACAGGG